CCUACGGGAGGCAGCAGUAAGGAAUAUUGGUCAAUGGAGGCAACUCUGAACCAGCCAUGCCGCGUGCAGGAUGACGGCCCUAUGGGUUGUAAACUGCUUUUAUACAAGAGAAAACCCUGGUACGUGUACCAGGUUGAUAGUAUUGUAAGAAUAAGCAUCGGCUAACUUCGUGCCAGCAGCCGCGGUAAGACGAAGGAUGCAAGCGUUAUCCGGAUUCAUUGGGUUUAAAGGGUGCGUAGGCGGACUGAUAAGUCAGUGGUGAAAUCUCUUUGCUUAACAAAGAAACUGCCAUUGAUACUGUCGGUCUAGAGUAUAGAUGACGUUGGCGGAAUAUGACAUGUAGUGGUGAAAUACUUAGAUAUGUCAUAGAACACCGAUUGCGAAGGCAGCUAACGAAACUAUAACUGACGCUGAGGCACGAAAGUGCGGGGAUCAAACAGGAUUAGAUACCCUGGUAGUCCGCACCGUAAACGAUGAUUACUCGUUGUUGGCGAUAUGACAGUCAGCGACCAAGCGAAAGCGAUAAGUAAUCCACCUGGGGAGUACGCCGGCAACGGUGAAACGUCAAAUGAAUUGACGGCGNGAGAGNGCGAGGACGACACGAGGGAGGAGG
rnacentral:rRNA from 1 species